AAAGAAUCAAGAUGAAAUCUGUGGUGAUAUUGAUGUGCCUGUUUGGUCAUUCCAUGGCUGUUCCAAUUCCUGAGAGUGGAAGCAAUGAGCAGGUUGCAGCACAUGCCAACGAGGCCCUGCGGUGGAUGGAACUUUACAGAAUGUAUAGUUCUCUUGCACAACAGGGCUUUGGGGCAACAACUUCAAGUCCCAAUGCUGAUAAGGUGUAUGCCCGAGCAGCAGCUUCACACAAUGUGUUCUACCCACCACCAGCACCAAUAAACUCUGACGAGGAGGCCCCAGCGACCCGCUAUGGUGCAUACUUUCCCUACCCUGGCCAUACAGCCCCUCUGAACUCUGAUGAGGUUGAAGAGGAUGCUGCUGCCACUGAAGCAGAGGCAGAGCCAGCAGAGAAUCAUCCCGUAUUAGAACAAACAGUGGUGGAACCAGUGGUUUUGGACACCAUCGCAGACCUGGCUCCUGCAGCCUCAGUUAACCCUGCCCCGGAGGGAACUAUCGACAUGGCUGACAUUAACCCUGUUUCCACUGAUGUCAUUGAUCCUUCUCUCAUAACUCCAACUGACAGCAUUUUGGUGGCUGAGCUUGUUGUAUAGGAGCAACAGCAAUGGAGAUUUUCAUCCCAUAGCCAUGGUAACAAAGAGGCAAAAGCAAUUGUGAUAGGAAAAAAGCAGAGAGCAGGGAUAGUGUAUGGAAUGAAUGGCUACUGGAAUUACUGGAAUAAUAUUGAUGUUUGAGUUUUCUUCUUACCAAUGUGUCUCAAACUUUAAAACUGAACCCACUGCUAAUAUAGAGGACUAAAUGUGAUAUCAUAUUAAAUAAAUACAUGUUGCAUUUGC
ensembl:lncRNA